UAAAAAGGUUCAGUACUUAGAACACAGAAAUAAUAAAAACAACAGAGUUAUGUCGCAACUCUGGUAUAGUGAUAUGCAGUGGGAUAUACAUAUGAAAUAUGUUGCAUUAUUUGUCUACCAUAUAAUACCUGAUGAAUCUAGUGUCUUAAAAUUAUGUUAAAGCUAAGGCUAUUUGGUGAAAAUUGUUUGCAGUUUAUUUUUUUACAAAUAAGUGAUACAAAUGCAUAAAACACAAAUUUCUUUUUUGGCAAGUCAUGAUGGCUGACGUUGUUCAUUGGUCAGGCAUCGACCAAUAAGAUUUCUUCAUUCAUACCAAAGCCCCGCCCCCAGCUCUGCCCUCUAUCAAAUGCACAAGUGAGUUUUGUAACAGGAAUACUGCAAUAGUCAGAGCGCUAGGAUUUGAACUUGUACUCCAGAUCUGAGAGGUUGUAAGUUGUGCAGCAAAUGUAAAUAUGUCGUAAAGAUUUGUGUAUGUCAUUUUUGUUGUGUUCUCACACAAGUGUUGUUUGAUAAUGCAUUAAACACAACUCUUUUUUUUUCUUUUAUGUGAAUGUCAUUCUACACAUUUGUAACUAUUCAUCUCCACGGGUGUUUUGAUCAUUGUCAGUGUGUGCAAAUUGAAAGAUUCAGCUUUUUACAUCGGAGCUGCCUGUGAGUGAUUUAAAAAAAAAAAGAGAGAGUUAAUAUGACAAGUUCUCACAUUAAGAUCAACAAGCGAGUUUUGCUACUGUUUUACCUUCAUAGAAACAUUUGUGACAACUAGCCCCGCUGCAGCGUGUUCGUGAUUGAUGCUGAUGAUGGAGUGUGACGCUGCGCGGACGCGACGAUCUGAUUGGCUGGACGCUCUUGCCGCGACGCUCUUGACGCGCUGUCCUGCAGCAGCGGCUCGGGGCAGACGCUCGCUCGCGGAGGUGAUGCUGAAGACGCUCUCGGCUUCUGUCAGAAACGGCCCUCAGCUGAGAGACGGAGGACCACGACAUCACCAGCUGGAGAACAAGACUGUGAGUGAGAGAACUUUAAACAUGCGUGUGUCUUAUUAAUACUGUGAGACGUUACAUGUUUUUAGAUGUUACAAGUGGCACUAUUACCAUGUACAGAAUAUUUGAUAUACAUGUGCUAUUAAUGUUAGUAAGAGUGUGAAUGAGGAUGCAACAUAAACACAGUUGUCUCAAAGCUGAUAGUGUUACACUAUCUGAAAAUAACUCUAAAUUAGUUCUCUAAAUUACAGGUUAAUAUUUCUUAGUGUAGCUUCUUCUGUACUCCUCAGCUACGUCAGGACAUUAAAAGAAAAUAGUAUUUAACUGUUAUUCUAAAAUAUAAAUUGUAGCAGUUUAAAACAUUUGUUUCUUUAUUUGCUUUUUCAGCCAUUUCUGAGUUUUGUGGCUUGUCAUCCAUCCAAACCUUUGAUUUUCUCUAUAAUAAAUGUACCAAACAUUUUUAAAUUAAGUACAUUGUGCUUAGGACUUUACAUAUUACAACUUAAUCUUGUUUUUAGGUGUACAUUUUUCAAUUUUUAUAACAUACCGGUAGUUGUCAUCAUUAGUACUGUCGUUACCAUCAAGCUAAGGAUUUUAAAGAAUUUAAAUUAGAUUAAAAAAUCCUCCAUUUAUUUUUAUUUUCCUAAAUUUAAAUUUGAAAGUUACUCAAAUUUUUAAAUUAAACUGUAAAAGUAAAAGAUGGCCUAACUCAAAAGAAUAUGGCAACCUAUCACACUCAGCUUCUUACUUUUAUUCAACUAGCAACAGGCAAAUUAAAUCUAAUUAAUCAAUGUCUGAGUGUUAAAAGAUCUGUCAGAGCAACCAAAGUUUUUUUUUUUUGCAUUUGGCAAUGCUAAUCUUUUUUUAAUAAUACUCUUUCUUUUAGAUUUCUGAUAUUUUCAAAGCCUUCUACAUAAUACAGGUUGUAUUUGACUCUUAAAAUUAAGGCAAACAUUUAUGUUGAUAAACAAAUGUAUUAAACUAGCUGUAUUGAGAUGCACGUAUACAGUACUUUAGCACAUGAUUCUCAGCCAUGGUGAGGAUAUUGUUCAGUUUGAAAUUGUUUGUUCAGAUGAAUCAAUUUGAAAAGUUGGGAGAGCAUUUGGAUGUGUUCAGAUACUUCAGUAUCUAAGUAAGGGUAAACA
ensembl:lncRNA